AAUUAGCUCAGUUGGUAGAGCGCGCGGCUGUUAACCGCUAGGUCGUAGGUUCGAGUCCUACAUUGG
rnacentral:tRNA from 1 species